GAAUGUAUGGGUAAAUUGGAUUGGGGUCGAGAAUAGAGAAUUUUAAUCCAGGCAGAGCUUUAAUGGCCCUCCCAAAAAUCGUCCACCAAGAAAGUCUCCGGCGACAAACAGCUGUUUCCGGUGAAUUCCAUCACCAAAGAUUUGAAACGAUCGAAUUCAGAGAUUGAAACUUGAUGAAGUCCUGCUCACAGGUUCUACAGAAGAUCAUGAAGAAAGGAUUGAUCUCCAUGUUCCCAUCAACCCUAAUCCUAAUCAAGAAAGGAUUCAUCUGAUUCCCAUUAAUCACCUCAAUCCCCUGAUCCCACUCUCAAUACUCAUCUUUCUUCAUCAAAAACCCUAAUAUUCGCAUAAUCAAUUAUGAUCAUCAACUCUUCUCCCUUCAUGGACUCCAUCCUUGCCCUUCAGAACCUUCGCGUAUUCAGUCCUGGCUUGAAUCCUUUUAAUCCCUGUUGCGUCGCUCAUCACUCUCGUUAAUUUCCCCCUUUAUACGUCUAUUACUCUUGUCUGUUCCCUGCUGUUUCCUGCGAAAACAAAGAAUAGUCGUUUUGGGGAUUUGUAUUUUAGGGGUUUUUUUUAUUGGAUCGUCGUUUUUAUUUUGGGGGUGUCGUUUUUGGGUGUUGGAGUGAGAAGAGAUGCUGGAGGCGCAGCCAGUGUUGUUCAGGAGAAUCCCGUUGAGGAGGCGCAUGCUGAAGCCUAGCGUUGGUACAGAAGAUAGAGGUUGGACUUCUCUUCAUGUUUGCGCCCGCAAAGGUGAUCUCAAACUGGAAAAAUAUAGAGAGGCUUCACGAUGAGAUGCUGAGAUACUUCAAAGUUGUUUGUAGGGAGAAGGACCCAAUAAGGCAAAGGACCCCAAUAAGAGGGAGAUGAGCCUUGAGGAGAAACACAAGUUAGGUAUUGGGUUGCAGAGUUUGCCUCCUGAGAAAAUGGAGCAGGUGAUACAGAUCAUAAGGAAUAGGAAUGGGAAUCUGAAGCAAGACGAGGAUGAGAUUGAGCUUGAUAUUGAGGCUGUUGACACUGAAACCCUUUGAGAACUUGAUCGAUUAUUGACCAAUUGGAAGAAGAUGAUGAGCAAAAUUAAGCGGCAGGCACUACUUGGCAACUUGAACAACAACAAUGCAGCAUCCAAUAAAUUCAAUGGGGAAUUGACUCCAGCAGUUCAAGUAGUGAUUCUUCUCUAGUGAUUCAGAUUCAGCGAGUUGCUCAAGGAGUGAUUCUGAAGCAUGGCCAAUGUGUGGUGUUCUGCCGAAGAAAAUGAUUUGCUUCACGGCUUCUUUUGAGUGUGCAGCUUCAAUUCAUGGACUAGGUAGUGUUGCUGUGAACAUGGUUUGCUGUUUCAUAUUGGAUGGAUUUUUGGUGGCAGCACAACUGCUAGAAGUGGUUUGUGGUGUGCAUUAUUUUGUAAAAAGGAUUUCUAAUACUGAAGAGCUAAUAAAAAAAAAUGGUAGGCCAGAAAUUAGAGUGCAAUGUGGUGAAAAUCUUAGUUUAGUUCCGUUAGAUUAGUUAGAAAUUAGGAUAAUAGAUUAGGGAGAAUCAAUGUGUUUGAGUUCACCUUGUACACAUUACUGCUACAGUAAAUAGAAUUAUCCUCGAUGGAGAUGGCCUUUAAUCAAAAGGAUAUGUAUCUUACUUGUUGGGAUCGACAAUUGAUCAGAUUAGAGAUUUAAAUUUUGUAUGUACCACAGACUUUAAUGACUCAUUAUAUAAUCACCUAUUCUUUCAA